rnacentral:rRNA from 1 species
UCGUGAGAUGUUGGGUUAAGUCCCGCAACGAGCGCAACCCUUGUCUUAUGUUGCCAGCGCGUUAUGGCGGGGACUCGUAAGAGACUGCCGGGGUCAACUCGGAGGAAGGUGGGGACGACGUCAAGUCAUCAUGCCCCUUAUGUCCAGGGCUUCACACAUGCUACAAUGGCCAGUACAGAGGGCUGCGAGACCGUGAGGUGGAGCGAAUCCCUUAAAGCUGGUCUCAGUUCGGAUCGGGGUCUGCAACUCGACCCCGUGAAGUCGGAGUCGCUAGUAAUCGCAGAUCAGCAACGCUG